GACGAACGCUGGCGGCGUGCCUAAUACAUGCAAGUCGAACGCAGUUGGGACGGGUGAGUAACACGUUGGUAACCUCCCAUCAGAGGGGAUAACACUUGGAAACAGGUGCUAAACCGAUACUGAUGGAUGGACCCGCAGUGCAUUAGCUAGUUGGUGACGUAACGGCUCACCAAGGCCACGAUGCAUACCCGCCCUGGUGGGGUGAUCGGCCACACUGGGACUGAGACACGGCCCAGACUCCGACGGGAGGCAGCAGUAGGGAAUCUUGGGCAAUGGACGAAAGUCUGACCGAGCAACGCCGCGUGAGUUAAGAAGGUUUUCGGAUCGUAAAACUCUGUUGUUAGAGAAGCGGUAUCUAACCAGAAAGCCACGGCUAACUACGUGCCAGUAGCCGCGGUAAUUC
rnacentral:rRNA from 1 species